rnacentral:rRNA from 1 species
GGAGUUUGGGCCGUGUCUCAGUCCCAAUGUGGCCGUCCGCCCUCUCAGGCCGGCUACAGAUCGUCGCUUUGGUGGGCCGUUACCCCGCCAACUGGCUAAUCUGACGCGGGCCCAUCUCAUACCACCGGAGUUUUUCACACUGUGUCAUGCGACACUGUGCGCUUAUGCGGUAUUAACAGCCGUUUCCAACUGUUAUCCCCCAGUAUGAGGCAGGUUGCCCACGCGUUACUCACCCGUCCGCCACUAAGAUUAAACAAGAUUCCGCCGAAGCCUCAUCAGCGUCUAAUCUCCGUUCGACUUGCAUGUGUUAGGCACGCCGCCAGCGUUCAUC